rnacentral:rRNA from 1 species
GACGAACGCUGGCGGCGUGCCUAAUACAUGCAAGUAGAACGCUGAAGGAGGAGCUUGCUUCUCUGGAUGAGUUGCGAACGGGUGAGUAACGCGUAGGUAACCUGCCUGGUAGCGGGGGAUAACUAUUGGAAACGAUAGCUAAUACCGCAUAAUAGUAGAUGUUGCAUGACAUUUGCUUAAAAGGUGCAAUUGCAUCACUACCAGAUGGACCUGCGUUGUAUUAGCUAGUUGGUGGGGUAACGGCUCACCAAGGCGACGAUACAUAGCCGACCUGAGAGGGUGAUCGGCCACACUGGGACUGAGACACGGCCCAGACUCCUACGGGAGGCAGCAGUAGGGAAUCUUCGGCAAUGGGCGGAAGUCUGACCGACCAACGCCGCGUGAGUGAAGAAGGUUUUCGGAUCGUAAAGCUCUGUUGUAAGAGAAGAACGAGUGUGAGAGUGGAAAGUUCACACUGUGACGGUAUCUUACCAGAAAGGGACGGCUAACUACGUG